rnacentral:ncRNA from 1 species
AGAGUAGGAAAUCGAGCGUAUAUAGUGCCGCAAAGACGGGGAGUUGCUUUGCGGACGAAACUGCACAAAAGGUGCAUGCGGUUCGGUUUUCGCAUCCCGCU